rnacentral:tRNA from 1 species
GGGAGUGUAGCUCAGCGGAGGAGCACUUGCCUAGCACACUUUGCAAGAGCCUGGAUUCCAUCCCCAGCACUGCAA